rnacentral:rRNA from 1 species
GACGAACGCUGGCGGCGUGCCUAAUACAUGCAAGUAGAACGCUGAAGGAGGAGCUUGCUUCUCUGGAUGAGUUGCGAACGGGUGAGUAACGCGUAGGUAACCUGCCUGGUAGCGGGGGAUAACUAUUGGAAACGAUAGCUAAUACCGCAUAAUAGUAGAUGUUGCAUGACAUUUGCUUAAAAGGUGCAAUUGCAUCACUACCAGAUGGACCUGCGUUGUAUUAGCUAGUUGGUGGGGUAACGGCUCACCAAGGCGACGAUACAUAGCCGACCUGAGAGGGUGAUCGGCCACACUGGGACUGAGACACGGCCCAGACUCCUACGGGAGGCAGCAGUAGGGAAUCUUCGGCAAUGGACGGAAGUCUGACCGAGCAACGCCGCGUGAGUGAAGAAGGUUGUCGGAUCGUAAAGCUCUGUUGUAAGAGAAGAACGAGUGUGAGAGUGGAAAGUUCACACUGCGACGGUAUCUUACCAGAAAGGGACGGCUAACUACGUG